AUGAACGCUGGCGGCGUGCCUAAUCCAUGCAAGUCGAGCGAACAGACGAGGAGCUUGCUCCUCUGACGUUAGCGGCGGACGGGUGAGUAACACGUGGAUAACCUACCUAUAAGACUGGGAUAACUUCGGGAAACCGGAGCUAAUACCGGAUAAUAUAUUGAACCGCAUGGUUCAAUAGUGAAAGACGGUUUUGCUGUCACUUAUAGAUGGAUCCGCGCCGCAUUAGUUAGUUGGUAAGGUAACGGCUUACCAAGGCAACGAUGCGUAGCCGACCUGAGAGGGUGAUCGGCCACACUGGAACUGAGACACGGUCCAGACUCCUACGGGAGGCAGCAGUAGGGAAUCUUCCGCAAUGGGCGAAAGCCUGACGGAGCAACGCCGCGUGAGUGAUGAAGGUCUUCGGAUCGUAAAACUCUGUUAUUAGGGAAGAACAAAUGUGUAAGUAACUAUGCACGUCUUGACGGUACCUAAUCAGAAAGCCACGGCUAACUACGUG
rnacentral:rRNA from 1 species